rnacentral:rRNA from 1 species
GGGCAGCGAUGCUCUCUGCAGUCGACGAAGUCCUCGGACUUAGUGGCGCACGGGUGAGUAACAUGUGGGAAUCUACCUAAAGGUUCGGAAUAACUGCGGGAAACUGUAGCUAAUACCGGAUGUGUCUGCAAAGAGAAAGAUUUAUCGCCUUUAGAUGAGCCCGCACUAGAUUAGCUAGUUGGUGAGGUAAUUGCUCCACCAAGGCUACGAUCUAUAGCUGAUUUGAGAGGAUGAUCAGCCACACUGGGACUGAGACACGGCCCAGACUCCUACGGGAGGCAGCAGUAGGGAAUAUUGGACAAUGGGGGAAACCCUGAUCCAGCAAUGCCGCGUGAGUGAAGAAGGCCCUCGGGUUGUAAAACUCUUUCAUCAAUGAUGAUAAUGACAUUAAUUGAAGAAGAAGCUCCGGCUAACUUCGUGCCAGCAGCCGCGGUAAUACGAAGGGGGCUAGCGUUGUUCGGAAUCACUGGGCGUAAAGCGUAUGUAGGCGGAUCAAAAAGUUAGAUGUGAAAUCCCUGGGCUCAACCCAGGAACUGCAUUUAAAACUAGUGAUCUAGAAUUUGGUAAAGGUUAGUAGAAUUUCCAGUGUAGAGGUGAAAUUCGUAGAUAUUGGAAAGAAUACCAGAAGCGAAGGCGACUAACUAGGCCAUUUUUGACGCUGAGAUACGAAAGCGUGGGUAGCAAACAGGAUUAGAUACCCUGGUAGUCCACGCAGUAAACGAUGAGUGCUAGUCGCUGGGACAUUAGUUUCAGUGUCGAAGCUAACGCAUUAAGCACUCCGCCUGGGAAGUACGGUCGCAAGAUUAAAACUCAAAUAAAUUGACGGGGGGCCGCANCAGCGGUGGA